GACGAACGCUGGCGGCGUGCCUAAUACAUGCAAGUAGAACGCUGAAGCUUGGUGCUUGCACCGAGCGGAUGAGUUGCGAACGGGUGAGUAACGCGUAGGUAACCUGCCUGGUAGCGGGGGAUAACUAUUGGAAACGAUAGCUAAUACCGCAUAAUAGUAGAUGUUGCAUGACAUUUGCUUAAAAGGUGCAAUUGCAUCACUACCAGAUGGACCUGCGUUGUAUUAGCUAGUUGGUGAGGUAACGGCUCACCAAGACAACGAUACAUAGCCGACCUGAGAGGGUGAUCGGCCACACUGGGACUGAGACACGGCCCAGACUCCUACGGGAGGCAGCAGUAGGGAAUCUUCGGCAAUGGACGGAAGUCUGACCGAGCAACGCCGCGUGAGUGAAGAAGGUUUUCGGAUCGUAAAGCUCUGUUGUAAGAGAAGAACGAGUGUGAGAGUGGAAAGUUCACACUGUGACGGUAUCUUACCAGAAAGGGACGGCUAACUACGUG
rnacentral:rRNA from 1 species